AGAGUUUGAUCCUGGCUCAGGACGAACGCUGGCGGCGUGCUUAACACAUGCAAGUCGAACGGAAAGGCCCUGCUUGCAGGGUGCUCGAGUGGCGAACGGGUGAGUAACACGUGGGUGAUCUGCCCCUUACUUUGGGAUAAGCCUGGGAAACUGGGUCUAAUACUGGAUAGGACCAUGCUGUAGGUGGUGUGGUGGAAAGAUUAGUUUCGGUAAGGGAUGAGCUCGCGGCCUAUCAGCUUGUUGGUGGGGUAAUGGCCUACCAAGGCGUCGACGGGUAGCCGGCCUGAGAGGGUGGACGGCCACAUUGGGACUGAGAUACGGCCCAGACUCCUACGGGAGGCAGCAGUGGGGAAUAUUGCACAAUGGGCGCAAGCCUGAUGCAGCGACGCCGCGUGGGGGAUGACGGCCUUCGGGUUGUAAACUCCUUUCAGCCAUGACGAAGCCUUCGGGUGACGGUAGUGGUAGAAGAAGCACCGGCUAACUACGUGCCAGCAGCCGCGGUAAUACGUAGGGUGCGAGCGUUGUCCGGAAUUACUGGGCGUAAAGAGCUCGUGGGUGGUCUGUCGCGUCAUUUGUGAAAGCCCGGGGCUUAACUCCGGGUUGGCAGGUGAUACGGGCAUGACUGGAGUACUGUAGGGGAGACUGGAAUUCCUGGUGUAGCGGUGAAAUGCGCAGAUAUCAGGAGGAACACCGGUGGCGAAGGCGGGUCUCUGGGCAGUAACUGACGCUGAGGAGCGAAAGCAUGGGUAGCGAACAGGAUUAGAUACCCUGGUAGUCCAUGCCGUAAACGUGGGCGCUAGGUGUGGGUUUCCUUCCACGGGAUCCGUGCCGUAGCUAACGCAUUAAGCGCCCCGCCUGGGGAGUACGGCCGCAAGGCUAAAACUCAGAGGAAUGACG
rnacentral:rRNA from 1 species